CGUGUUUGUGAGGACCCGUUCGACUAUGUUCGUUUGUCUUCUUCAUGGACUCGUUCUUCUUCCUUGCGGGAUUUCAGGCAAGAUGAUCAUACCCUCGAAAUCACUACUAUCUUUGCUAUGCUAGUUUGCUCGCUCUUUUGCUAUGCCAAUGCUACGAUGCCUACCAUUUGCUUUCAAGCCUCCCAAAUUGCCAUGUCAAACCUCUAACCCACCAUGUCCUAGCAAACCGUUGAUUGGCUAUGUUACCGCUUUGCUCAGCCCCUCUUUUAGCGUUGUUAGUUGCACGUGAAGAUUGAAGUUUGUUCCUUGUUGGAACAUGGAGAUGUUGUUCCUUGUUGGAACAUGUUUACUUGUUGGGAUAUCACAAUAUAUCUUAUUUAAUUAAUGCAUCUAUAUACUUGGUAAAGGUUGGAAGGAUCGGCCUUAUGCCCGAUGUUUUGUUCCACUCUUGCCGCCCUAGUUUCCAUCAUAUCGGUGUUAUGUUCCCGGAUUUUGCGUUCCUUAUGCGGUUGGGCUAUAAUGGGAACCCCUUGACAGUUCGCCUUAAGUAAAGCUCCUCCAGCAAUGCCCAACUUUGGUUUUACCAUUUGCACUAACAACCUACCACCUUCCCUUGGGUUCUGUAGACUCAAGGGUCAUCUUUAUUCUAACCCCCCCGGGCUAGUGCUCCUCUGAGUGUUGGUCCGACCGAGUAGACUGCGGGGCCACCUCGGGGCAACUUGAGGGUUGGUUUUACUCGUAGGAUGUCUCAUCUGAGUGUGCCCUGAGAAAGAGAUAUGUGUAGCUCCUAUCGGGAUUUGUCGGCACAUUCGGGCGGUGUUGCUGGUUUAGUUUUACCCUGUCGAAAUGUCUUGUUGUACCGGGAUACCGAGUCUGAUCGGAACGUCUUGGGUGGAGGUCUAUUCCUUCGUUGACCGUGAGAGCUUGUGAUGGGCUAAGUUGGGACACCCCUGCAGGGAUUUGAACUUUCGAAAGCCGUGCCCACGGUUAUGGGCAGAUGGGAAUUUGUUAACGUCCGGUUGUAGAAAACCUGAACUUGGCCUUAAUUAAAAUGAAUCAACCGCGUGUGUAACCGUGAUGGUCUCUUUUCGGCGGGGUCCGGGAAGUGAACACGGUUGUUGGAGUUAUGCUUGACGUAGGUUGCUAUAGGAUCACUUCUUGAUCAUACUUUUAUCGACCGUGCUUUGCCUUCUCUUCUCGUUCUCAUUUGCGUAUGUUAGCCACCAUAUAUGCUAGUCGCUUGCUGCAGCUCCACCUCAUACCUUUUACCUUACCCAUAAGGUUAAAUAGUCUUGAUUGUGAGGGUGCGAGAUUGCUGAGUCCCCGUGGCUCACAGAUACUUCCAAAACGAGCUUGCAGGUGCCGAUGAGUCCGUGCAGAUGACGCAACCAAGCUCAGGAGGAGCUCGAUGAAGAUCUUGCCCUUUGUUUUCGUUCUAGUUGAUCAAUAGUGGAGCCCAGUUGGGGUCGAUCGGGGACCUUUGUCGCAUUUGGGGUUCUUCUUUUAUUUUGGUUCCGUAGUCGGACCCUGUUUGUAUUUGGUUGAUGUAAUGCUUUAUUCAUGUAAUUGUGUGAAGUGGCGAUUGUAAGCCAACUAUGUAUCUCUUUCCUUUAUAUAUUACAUGGGUUGUGUGAAGAUUACCUCACUUGCGACAUAUGCCUUCAAUGCG
rnacentral:lncRNA from 1 species